GUGCUUAUUUUGGCAGUACAUUCAUUAAAGAUGCAUCAAUACAGAGACAAUUAGCAUGGUCCCUGAGCAAGGAUGACAAGCACAAUUAUGAAGGUUUCAUAUUUAGA